rnacentral:rRNA from 1 species
UACGGGGGGAGCAAGCGUUGUUCGGAUUUACUGGGUGUAAAGGGCGCGUAGGCGGGGGGGUAAGUCGGGUGUGAAAUCCCUCGGCCCAACCGAGGAACUGCGCCCGAGACUGCUUCUCUUGAGUCCCGGAGAGGAAGAUGGAAUUCCCGGUGUAGCGGUGAAAUGUGUAGAGAUCGGGAGGAACACCGGUGGCGAAGGCGGUCUUCUGGACGGUGACUGACGCUGAGGCGCGAAAGCCAGGGGAGCAAACGGG